AACGAACGCUGGCGGCGCGCCUAAUACAUGCAAGUCGAGCGAGAAGGUGUAGCAAUACACUUGUAAAGCGGCGAACGGGUGAGGAAUACAUGGGUAACCUACCCUCGAGUGGGGAAGUAACUAGCCGAAAGGUUAAGCUAAUACCGCAUACGAUUCCAGGACUUCGGUCCUGGAAGGAAAGACACUACCGUGGGUAGUGCGCUCCUGGAUGGGCUCAUGUCCUAUCAGCUUGUUGGUGAGGUAAAGGACUCACCAAGGCUUCGACGGGUAGGCUGGUCUGAGAGGACGAUCAGCCACACUGGCACUGCGACACGGGCCAGACUCCUACGGGAGGCAGCAGUAAGGAAUAUUGCGCAAUGGGCGACAGCCUGACGCAGCGACGCCGCGUGGGGGAGUGAA
rnacentral:rRNA from 1 species